GUACUCACUUUGGCAGCACAUAUACUAAAAUUGGAACCAUACAGAGAAGAUUAACAUAGCCCCUGUGCAGGGAUGGCAUACAAUUUCAUGAAGAGUUCCAUCUUUUG
rnacentral:snRNA from 1 species